AUAUACAAAAAGGGGACUGGAAGAGUCUACAGAAGAGGAGGCACCAGUAUUUGUGUUAGAAGCCAUAGUCAAUGAACCGGCUUAAAAGAACAAUUUUCAACAAACAGAGUAUAACCAAAUCAGAUAUUUACACACAACAACCAACAAACAGAGUAUAACUAAAUCAGGUAUUAACACACAACACUAGAUAAUCACAUACAAUACCGAAGAUAAGGACAGAGUUACCCUCCUUCUUCUGAAAAGAAUGGACCUUGGGCCUAACUCAACCCCAAAAGCUAGCUUAUGAGGUGAGGAUU
rnacentral:lncRNA from 1 species